GAUGAACGCUGGCGGUAUGCUUAACACAUGCAAGUCGAACGGACUCUUCGGAGUUAGUGGCGGACGGGUGAGUAACGCGUGAGAAUCUGGCUUUGGGUUCGGGACAACCACUGGAAACGGUGGCUAAUACCGGAUGUGCCGAGAGGUAAAAGAGAAAUUGCCUGAAGAUGAGCUCGCGUCUGAUUAGCUAGUUGGUGAGGUAAAGGCUCACCAAGGCAGCGAUCAGUAGCUGGUCUGAGAGGAUGACCAGCCACACGGGGACUGAGACACGGCCCAGACUCCUACGGGAGGCAGGAGGGGGGAAUUGUCCGAAAUGGGCGAGAGCCUGACGGAGCAAUACCGCGUGAGGGAAGAAGGCUCUUGGGUUGUAAACCUCUUUUCUUAGGGAAGAACAAAAUGACGGUACCUAAGGAAUCAGCAUCGGCUAACUCCGUG
rnacentral:rRNA from 1 species